AUUCAAGUCCUGUAAGAGUUAGUUAGGCCAUAAAGUUUUAAGAUUUUUGUAUCAUGAGUUCUGAGAUAAACAUGUUAUAGUAUGUGUUCUUUCUAGUGAUCUGCCAGGAAGAAACAAUAGACUGUGUGUUCAGGUUUCACAGGUAAGGAUGGAGAAAUUCUAACUGAUGCACUUCAGUAAUUAAGAUAGUACAAAUGUGUUUAUUUAACAUCAACAUAUUUUGCAUUGAGAGAUUUCUUUACAAUCACUUUUUUCUUGCUUUAGAUAUAAACAAAACUCUAAUAAGUGAUAAAUACCUUUUCAUUGAUGACAAGAUGCAAAUCAGUUGAGACUAGCCAAACAGAAUUGAAGAAUGACUCACAGAAUUGGGGCAGUCUGUUGAAUGACUUCUUAUUCUCUGGUAUUUCUGCAGUUAUGCUACUCUUGUAUUAUGCAAGUAUAACUGGGGAAGAGCGGGUGAACAAACAUUAUAUUUUCUUUUUAUUCCUCUUUUUCUUUUCUCUCAUAUUUCUCUGAAUUACAAUCACAUCUGAUCACUUACUUCUCUCUCUUGAUCAAAAAACAUCCAACUCUCCUUCUUUGAGCCAAAACUUCAACUGUCCUUUCAACGAGCUUAUUGUCUUUUCCCAUUUCCAGCUCAUCAACUCAUCUCUUCUCCCAAUAGUUUCCCCUUUUUACUUUUGAAAUUGUGAUAUUAGCUAGGUCUUUCUUCUCUUUAUCAUCAUCUAAUGGCAGCCAGCUCUCUUUACUUGAUUUUGAUAUUUAGACUCAUUUAACGUAGUCAAUACUUCACCAUGCUUACACGUUUGUUGGAAGAGAAGAACUAUUUAUUAACCACAAAAGUGAGAAAUCAAUCUUUGUUUAGAUUUCCUAUCUCUUUACAGCAUAUUUCAUUCAGAUAGACAGAAAAAAAAAAGAGAAAAAACAAAUGCUUCAGUAUUGUGAGAAUUUAUUCCAUAUCUUUGUGAAAAGUCUAAAUGCCUUCUCUACAAGGAGGAACUGUAAUCAUAUCAUAACAACAUUUGUCUUUUUUUUUUUUAUUAUUGAAAAGUGCUGGGAUGGUGGAUUAAGAGACCUUGUUUAAUCCUGUGACUUUCAAGAUUACUCAAUCUUGGAUUUCUUGUUAUGGGGAUUUGUGAAAGAUCAUAUGUACAUUUCUUCCAUGUCCCAGAUGAUGGAUGAAUUAAAGGAGCACAUAAUAGAAACCACAGCAUCAAUAAACAGUGUAAUGAUUACAUGCAUAUGAUUACAGACUUGACAUGUAUAAAAUUACAGAGUGCAUUAUAUUACACACAUCACAAUAUUGAUCACUGAUAAAAAAAAAUUAUAUUGAUCAUUUAAGAAAAAACUUCCAGAGUUUGUAUAUCAGAGCUAAAAAACUGUGUUCCUACUUGAAUUAAAAAAUGUUAUUGUCUGCUGAAACCCAGGCAUUCUUUUAUAAACACACUAUAUAUAAUACUGAAAAUAUAUAUCAG
rnacentral:lncRNA from 1 species